rnacentral:rRNA from 1 species
AUUGAACGCUGGCGGCAUGCUUUACACAUGCAAGUCGAACGGUAACAGGCCGCAAGGUGCUGACGAGUGGCGAACGGGUGAGUAAUGCAUCGGAACGUGCCCAGUCGUGGGGGAUAACGCAGCGAAAGCUGCGCUAAUACCGCAUACGAUCUAUGGAUGAAAGCGGGGGACCGUAAGGCCUCGCGCGAUUGGAGCGGCCGAUGUCAGAUUAGGUAGUUGGUGGGGUAAAGGCUCACCAAGCCAACGAUCUGUAGCUGGUCUGAGAGGCCGACCAGCCAAACUGGGACUGAGACACGGCCCAGACUCCUACGGGAGGCAGCAGUGGGGAAUUUUGGACAAUGGGCGCAAGCCUGAUCCAGCAAUGCCGCGUGCAGGAAGAAGGCCUUCGGGUUGUAAACUGCUUUUGUACGGAACGAAACGGUCCUGGUUAAUACCCGGGGCUAAUGACGGUACCGUAAGAAUAAGCACCGGCUAACUACGUGCCAGCAGCCGCGGUAACAC